ensembl:snRNA U1 U1 spliceosomal RNA
AUACUUACCUGGCAGGGGAGAUACCAUGAUCAGGAAGGUGGGUUUCCCAGAGCAAGGCUUAUCCAUUGCACUCUGGAUAUGCUGACCCCUGAGAUUUCCCUAAAUGUGGGAAACUCAACUGCACAAUUUAUGGUUGUGUGGGAUUGUAUUUGCGCUUUCCCCGG